rnacentral:lncRNA from 1 species
AAUUGGAGGUCGUACGAGGACGACGUGCAGAGCAUCACCAACCCUCGAUCUGAUCAUGUGCAAGUUCAUAAAUGAGUCCAAGUUAUUCCUUUCCAAAAAAAAAAAAAGUGUCCAAGUUUGUCUUUGGAACAGCAAAUCAAAAUCUGUAAAUUAAAACAGCAUCAACGUACCCACCAAACAAUGUGCGCCAGACCAAGGAUGCUGAGUCGCCCGGAAUCUUUCGAUCAUUCAGCACAAGAGAGCAACUCGCCAGAUCGAAUUCUUUCAAGCAAAUAUUCUCCGAUUCACAUAUGACAGAAUUGACAUCCUGGGGAAUCAUGUUUUCGUGGUUGCGCAAGGAUAUCAUACUUCAUGUGGCCUAUCUUUUUGCUUUUUGAAGGAAGAAAACAAACAACAUAUUUAUAAAUGACAAAUAACUUAUACUUUUAUACAAGUAUUCUUGAGGAUCUAAAAGCAAAUGCUGAAAAAUAAACCACGAAAAGAAAACCUUAAAAUUAGCUCCAAAUUUAAGAUUAAAAAUUUAAAUAAAAAUUUUAAUUUAUAAGCAUAAGCAAAAGCAAAAAAAAUUAAGGUACGUCAAACUACGUCACACCAAUAUAAUUCUAAAGUACAGCUUACAUGCACGAUGAAAUAAUAACCCGAUUUACACAGCCUCAAGUUACACCGGUAGAAAAAGGGCCAACUGGAAAUAUGUUGUUUCAUAUGAUAAGUUUCUAUGACAUAUUUCUAGCGUUCAUAAUUUGUUCUAAAAUAUACUAAAGUCUUCGCCUACUCUAGGGUCUCAAGACAUAUGGUGCGGCACUCCUGCUUGCAUCAGGGAUAUAAAUGCAAGUAGGAAGCAGUUAUGCUUAUGCCUAUACCAAACGAUCACAUGAGGAUUUGUGCCACAAGCGUAGAUGCGCAGGCUGAAGUGUUCCCAUGUUAAAGCUGGGAAUACUUUUUUAAGAUGAUUAAAUGUUUAUUAAACUCAGCCAGUUAGACAAAUUGAUAGAAUUGUACUGCAAACACUUCUAACCUUUGUACAUAGCCAAACACACACUCACUCUUAGGUGGUGUUUAGAUUGAGAAAAUUUUUUGAAGAAGUGUCACGUCAAAUGUUUGACCGUAUGUCGGAAGGGGUUUUCGGACACAAAUAAAAAAAAGAAUUUCACGGCUAGCCUAGAAACCGCGAGAUGAAUCUUUUGAGCCUAGUUAAUUCAUCAUUAGCACAUGUUGCUUACUGUAGCACUUAUGGCUAAUCAUAGGCUAAUUAGGCUCAAAAGAUUCGUCUCAAGAUUUCUUCCAUAACUAUGCAAUUAGUUUUUUGGUUAUCUAUGUUUAAUGCUUUAUUUAGGUGUCCAAAAAUUCAAUGUGAUGUUUUUGGAAAAAAAAUUUGGGAACUAAACAAGGCCUUACAUUUAUAAAAGAAAAGGAGUAUAACAAAAAUUUUGACAAUCACUCCUAAGACUAGAUGCUAGCUUGAAACAUACAUAUAACUAGAGAUAAAUAGUUGGGAACUGGAGGCGUCUGGAAAUCUUAGCUCUACUAGGCUGGAUGAUAGUUGUGAGUGCCAUGUGACAAAUUAGAAAACACAAGAGAAAAAGGUACAAUGGGAAUUCUCCCUUUCCCAUUCAUAUAUGUCUACGACACUAUCUCGUUCUCACUAUAUAAGUCUUAGAUCUCUCCUGCCCUUUUCUCCAUCUUAGAAUUAACACCAUCAUCUGCGUAUUUAUAAGGAUAGACAGGGAAAACAUUUUCCCACCUAUCCCCAUUUAUCUGUGACCCAAGGUCACAACGGUCAUCAUGAGUAACAUGAUACAAAGUACUUUCUCCGUCCAACUUUAUAGAACCCUUUGAAGCCUUUGGGAUUCAUUAAGAUUGAGAUAUUUAAAGGACGUGAUUGAUGGAGAUGGGUAAGGAUGUGAAAAAAUUAAAUGGUUGAUGUUUGUUAUUGAUUCAGAUGAGAUGGAGAUGGAUUUUAUAUAACUCGUGUGGACGAUUUAGAUCAACAGUAAUAUAUGGGGUGGCUAACGAGGUACAAUGGUUAGAUGGAGACAUUGGGUUAUCUAAGUUCAGGCUCUCGGUAUGCGAGAUAAUACCCUUCCACUACUUGGCAAUUGUAUUCGGUGGUGUAUAUGUGUGUACAGAUUAACUAGGAAAUACCUUAUCUGAAUAUGAUGUGCCUCUUGUGGGGUGCUCCUGUCCCCUUUAUAUAGAGAGGGACAAGGGUUACAGAUAGAGACCUAAUUUGACAAGAUCUAGGUCUACCUAGUACAAAUAUGGUAGAGUUCAGUGAUCUCGGCAUGCAAUCUCAGAUGUAACAAAACUCUAACCUACCCAGUACUAGAUAAUGUUGCUUCCUUUUCCGGAACCUCUAACCUAUACGUAUAUGUACAUGAUACGAAUACCCCUAGCACGAAUAUCCUACAACUCGUAUAAUUUAUUAUAUGUAUAACUACAUCAACUAAUCUAUAUGUACCAAACUAAUCUGGACACACCAUGAUCUAGCGGUUAAGAUAAUUUUUUUCUUGAAUUAAUGUGGUAUUUUUCAGCCAUAAGAUCGAAUGUGGCGCCUUUUUUAAAACUAUCUUCAUUUGCAAUAGACAGAUAGACAAAUAUCUUUAACUCUAGAUGUUACUAUACUUUUGGACAGAUAGAGUAUACCUGUCUAGUGCUAGACCAUAAAAGGAAGUUCAAUCGAUACGAAUAUAAUUGUUUCUUGUGCUAAAGCUGGGAAUGUGCAACGUGAGAUGAGAAUGGUUUGUGUUGGCUCGGAAUUGGAGGUGUCUGGAAGCGUUAGCACAACUGGAUUGGAUGACAAUGGAAAGUGCACUAUCACGCAAUAGAGAGUAGAUGGCUGAGAGUUUUCGACGGUGUUGCGCU